rnacentral:lncRNA from 1 species
AUGACUGUAAAGCAAGCAGGAGGCAAGAGUAACAGAGGAGAGCCUGGAGGAGACUAUACUGCAUCUCAGCAGGUACCCACACUCCAUGGGUAUCACAGACACUUAGAACCUGGCAAGGUACCAUGCAACUCAUCACAUAUACAGAUACAAGUAGGGUUGCCAGUGCUGUUUUCUUUAAGUCAGACAUUUAAUUAUUUGGUCUCAGGAAGACAUGUAGAAAGACAUGUAGAAUUAUUGUGUUCACUUUUCCAGUCAACUCAUGCAGUUGUACGUUGCAACACUGAAAGUUACUCUGUCCCCAGAGGAAUAUUUGCUGACCCCCAACUUAGAACAAUUCAACAUGCAAAUAAAGGCUUGUAUCAAGAUACGGAGGUAAAGACAAAUCAAGAAGGCAAGUAUAGGAGCCACAGAGAAGUGGGGGAGCUGUGGGGAACAUCACCCACAGCAGUCAUGGGCAUUUAAACACUUCUGGGAGGUGAUUUAAGCCUGAACAAAGUAGAUUUUUGGAGUCUUGGCUAGAAGAUCUUGGCUCUAACAGAAGAGAAAUGAGAAGAAACCCUAGAAAGCUGCAUAGGCCUAGAAAGGUGAGGACAGAGGGCCCUUUGGGCAGGGUAGGGGUGCAAAGUCUAGAUUGCAUGCCUCCGGGAGUAAAAUCAGUGUUAAGUACACAGAGGGGAUCUGAUAGAACAGUCUAAUUAAUACUGUUCUCUCCCAGAAUCCCUUUUUUUUACUCACCAUCUCCCACCAAAUCCAUUUUCCAUCUUAUUAUUAACCGUUCUAAACUCAGCUUGAGAAUUACAGCCUUCCCCCUCCCCCGCAAGGAAGCCCUUCCCAGGUACCCAGUCUGCCUAGCCACAGCUUGUUUCAGGACAUUCCAGCUUUGGCAGGUUGCCACAAUGUCCCUUGUCCCCCUAGUUCCUUGGCAGAAGCCUACCACAUGGGCACAUGGCAUCCCAAAAUAAAAGGCUCCACUUCCCAGCAUCCCUUGCUGUAAGGCCUGGCCAUGAGACUUCCAUCUGGCCAAGAAUCAGGAGCAGUGCAAAAAACCUUACCAGACAGCUGGCACGUGCCCUCUGUCCCUUCCCUUUUCUUUUUCACUGGUUUGGAACCUGCCGAGUGGUAGCUAAAGCUCAAAUAUCUUUGUCCCCAGGGUGCACAUGAAGUACAGUGGAAGGGCAAGAUGGACAUAUGCUUGCACAGGGGUCCGUGUGUGGUACAGCAGUCUCUUGGUUGGCUAAGCUCUGCACUCCUAUGCUUUAGAAAAAAAUGUCUCACUUAGACAACUUUUUUCCUUAUUACGUACGUAUCCAAUUUUGUGACCCCAUGGACUACAGCCCACCAGACUCCUCUGUCCAGGGAACUCUCCAGGCAAAGAUACUAGAGUGGAUAGCCAUUCCCCUCUCCAGGGGAUCUUCCAAAUUCAGGAGUCGAACCAGGGUUCCCUGCACUGCAGGCAGAUUCUUUACCAUCUGAGCCACCAGGGAAGCCCAA